rnacentral:rRNA from 1 species
GCGCGAUUGGAGCGGCCGAUGUCGGAUUAGCUAGUUGGUAGGGUAAAGGCCUACCAAGGCGACGAUCCGUAGCGGGUCUGAGAGGAUGAUCCGCCACACUGGGACUGAGACACGGCCCAGACUCCUACGGGAGGCAGCAGUGGGGAAUUUUGGACAAUGGGCGCAAGCCUGAUCCAGCCAUGCCGCGUGAGUGAAGAAGGCCUUCGGGUUGUAAAGCUCUUUCAGGUGGAAAGAAAACGCAUGGGUCAAUACCCUGUGUGGAUGACGGUACCAUCAGAAGAAGCACCGGCUAACUACGUGCCAGCAGCCGCGGUAAUACGUAGGGUGCGAGCGUUAAUCGGAAUUACUGGGCGUAAAGCGUGCGCAGGCGGUGAUGUAAGACAGAUGUGAAAUCCCCGGGCUCAACCUGGGAACUGCGUUUGUGACUGCAUCACUCGAGUACGGCAGAGGGAGGUGGAAUUCCGCGUGUAGCAGUGAAAUGCGUAGAUAUGCGGAGGAACACCGAUGGCGAAGGCAGCCU